GUGGGGAAUAUUGCACAAUGGGGGAAACCCUGAUGCAGCGACGCCGCGUGAGUGAAGAAGUAUUUCGGUAUGUAAAGCUCUGUCAGCAGGGAAGAAGAAAGACGGUACCUGACCAAGAAGCCCCGGCUAACUACGUGCCAGCAGCCGCGGUAAUACGUAGGGGGCAAGCGUUAUCCGGAAUCACUGGGUGUAAAGGGAGCGUAGACGGCUGUGCAAGCCUGGAGUGAAAGGCGGGGGCCCAACCCCCGGACUGCUCUGGGAACUGUAUGGCUGGAGUGCAGGAGAGGUAAGUGGAAUUCCUGGUGUAGCGGUGAAAUGCGUAGAUAUCAGGAGGAACACCAGUGGCGAAGGCGGCUUACUGGACUGUAACUGACGUUGAGGCUCGAAAGCGUGGGGAGCAAACAGG
rnacentral:rRNA from 1 species